rnacentral:rRNA from 1 species
CAGACUCCUACGGGAGGCAGCAGUGGGGAAUAUUGCACAAUGGGCGCAAGCCUGAUGCAGCCAUGCCGCGUGUGUGAAGAAGGCCUUCGGGUUGUAAAGCACUUUCAGCGAGGAGGAAGGUGGUGAGUUUAAUACGCUCAUCAAUUGACGUUACUCGCAGAAGAAGCACCGGCUAACUCCGUGCCAGCAGCCGCGGUAAUACGGAGGGUGCAAGCGUUAAUCGGAAUUACUGGGCGUAAAGCGCACGCAGGCGGU